UGGCUCAGAGGUUAAAGCGUCUGCCUAUAAUGCAGGAGACCCGGGUUCAAUCCCUGG
rnacentral:tRNA from 1 species